GGAAGUAAAAGUCGUAACAAGUUUCCGUAGGUGAACUGCGGAAGGAUCAUUAAUAAAUGGUCUACGUUUUUUUAAGUAGACGCUUAAUAAUCCUACCCUUUGUGAAUUUGUUGUUUUGAAAUAAUUUUUUUUAAAAUUAUUGAUUGUCUUUCCCUGUUGAAUUGGUUGUCUUAGUGGCAAAUGAUUCGCAGGGAGUGUCAGUAAUUUUAAAAGACCUUUUUUAAAAUUAAACUUUUUGUAUUCAUUUGUCUAAAAAUUAUUUUUAUAAUAUAAAAACAACUUUGACAAUGAUCUCUUGGUUCUCGCAACGAUGAGAACGCAGCAAAAUGCGAUAAGUAGUGUGAACUGCAGAAUACGUGAAUCAUCGAAUCUUCGAACGCAUAUUGCACUUUUUUAGUUUACUAAAAAAGUAUGUCUGUUUGAGUAUCAGUAAAAUAUUCUCAUAAAAACUUUUGUUUUUAUGGUUAUGAGUGUUUACAACGAUACAAGUUGUUUCACUUUAAAUUUUUUUAAAAUUUGAAUUUUUUCUAAUUUUAAAAUAAAAUUGGAUAAAAUUUUCCGUAAAAAAGGAAUAACCUAAACAAUUUUAAUUUUUGAUUAGAAUUCUUCAAUUAUAAAGGAAAAUUUAACUAAAUAACUUGAUCUCAAAUCAGAUAAGAGUACCGCUGAACUUAAGCAUAUCAAUAAGCGGAGGAAAAGAAACUAACAAGGAUUCCUUAGUAACGGCGAGUGAGCGGGAAGAGCUCAAAUUUGAAAUCUUCAAGUUUUACCUUGACGAAUUGUAGUUUAAGAAGGUUUUCUGUUGAAGUUUUGGUAAAGUUCUUUGGAAUAGGACAUCAUAGAGGGUGAGAAUCCCGUAUUUGACCAUUAUUUUCAGCUGUGUGAUACACUUUCAAAGAGUCGGAUUGUUUGGGAAUGCAGUCCAAAAUGGUGGUAAAUUCAUCUAAAGCUAAAUAUUGGCGAGAGACGAUAGCGAACAAGUACGUGAGGAAAGAUGAAAAGAACUUUGAAAGAGAGUUAAACAGUACGUGAAAUUGUCAAAAGGAAGCGUUUGUCACCAGUGUUGUUUUCUCGAAAAUCAAUUAAAAAAAGUUGGAUUUUGUGUUGUAUUGACCUUAACAGCUUGCUUCACUCUUUUCUUGCUUUUUUUAAUGCACUUUUCGUUUAACAAGUCAACAUCAGUUUCUUUUGUUGUAAAAGGGUCAUUGGAAGGUGGCUUUCUCUUCGGAGAAAGUGUUUAUGCCUUGAUCUCUGCAAUCGGAGAGACUGAGUCUGCAGCGUAGAUCCUUCGGGUUAGAUACAUUUGUGCUAAGCUACAGCUUUUCAUAGACAACUUGUUGACUAUGUUUAGUCUUGUAACUUACCCGCUUAUGCUAUUUUACCUACGCUUAGAUGUUGAG
rnacentral:misc_RNA from 1 species